rnacentral:rRNA from 1 species
AUUGAACGCUGGCGGCAGGCCUAACACAUGCAAGUCGAACGGUAACAGGAAGAAGCUUGCUUCUUUGCUGACGAGUGGCGGACGGGUGAGUAAUGUCUGGGAAACUGCCUGAUGGAGGGGGAUAACUACUGGAAACGGUAGCUAAUACCGCAUAACGUCGCAAGACCAAAGAGGGGGACCUUCGGGCCUCUUGCCAUCGGAUGUGCCCAGGUGGGAUUAGCUAGUAGGUGGGGUAACUGCUCACCUAGGCGAGGAUCCCUAGCUGGACUGAGAGGAUGACGAGCCACACUGGAACUGAGACACGGUCCAGACUCCUGCGGGAGGCAGCAGUGGGGAAUAUUGCACAAUGGGCGCAAGCUUGAUGCAGCCAUGCCGCGUGUAUGAAGAAGGCCUUCGGGUUGUAAAGUACUUUCAGCGGGGAGGAAGGGAGUAAAGUUAAUACCUUUGCUCAUUGACGUUACCCGCAGAAGAAGCACCGGCUAACUCCGUG